ACAGUGGCGGUUCAGUGAUAGAACUCUCGCCUUCAACGCAGGAGACCCAGGUUUGAUUUCUGGCCAGUGUA
rnacentral:tRNA from 1 species